rnacentral:rRNA from 1 species
GACGUAGGGCGCGAGCGUUGUCCGGAUUUAUUGGGCGUAAAGAGCUCGUAGGCGGCUUGUCGCGUCGACUGUGAAAACCCGCGGCUCAACCGCGGGCCUGCAGCCGAUACGGGCAGGCUAGAGUUCGGUAGGGGAGACUGGAAUUCCUGGUGUAGCGGUGAAAUGCGUAGAUAUCAGGAGGAAUACCGAUGGCGAAGGCAGGUCUCUGGGCUAACACUGACGCUCAUGCACGAAAGCGUGGGGAGCAAACAGG